rnacentral:rRNA from 1 species
CGAACGGGUGAGUAACGCGUGAGGAACCUGCCUCAAAGAGGGGGACAACAGUUGGAAACGACUGCUAAUACCGCAUAAGCCCACGGUGCCGCAUGGUACAGAGGGAAAAGGAGCAAUCCGCUUUGAGAUGGCCUCGCGUCCGAUUAGCUAGUUGGUGAGGUAAUGGCCCACCAAGGCAACGAUCGGUAGCCGGACUGAGAGGUUGAACGGCCACAUUGGGACUGAGACACGGCCCAG